rnacentral:lncRNA from 1 species
GGGGGGGGGGGGCAGAACUUAAAGUCUAAGAGAGUGUGCAAGUGAAGAACAGAGUUUUAGGGAAAUAAAGGAGAGAGAAAUAGCUACAAACAGGUACACGAAAGGGGUUUAGGGGAAUAGGGAAGUUGCAAAGAGUCUAUUUCUUAGGCAAGAGUAAACUUUAGGCAUGCCCAACAAUGAAGGAUGCUGGCAUUCCUAUAAGCCUGCCAGAACACACAGUAUUAGAGGCUAGGAUCCCAGGGGAUCAAGUUUGAGUCAUGGGCAGUAAUUUCAGUAUUGCCAUGCCUCAAACGUAGCAUGAAUACAUAGGGGUAGGGGAUUAAGGUUCGGAGUAAAUCCAGAAAAGGUAGAUGGAAAUGCUAAAAUAUGCACUGAUCUAAACAUAAGAAACAUAUAGACAAGAGAGUAAAAGUAUUAAGUAAACACAUUAGGGUAAUGCUAGAAUGUUAACCAGAACAUACCAGUUCACAGAAGAAAAAUGCAGUAAAAGCGGGUAGCAAGUCUUGGGAAACAGGCCACAGUAUAAGUAACAAGAGAGAAUGCUUUUUGAAUGUGAGUGUGAGUUCAAAAAACUAAGAGUGUUCAUGUGUUUGUGUUAAUAAGAAGCCAAGUAUUUAUAUUUUGAAAAUAGAUAGAAAGUAAGGCAAGAAUCAUAGUAAUUAUGGAACUAUGUACCAAUUACAAUCAAUCAAUAUAAGAACUUCCUUUAAUUAAGGAGUUUAAACUUAAACGGUAGUGGACAUAAAUCACUUAAGGAAAGAAUUCAAGUAAACAUCUUGUGUAAAGUAGGCAAUUAGGGGCAAAUACAUAGGGGUUUAACUAAGGGAAACAUUAAUGAAGAAUGUUGAAAUGCACGGUUAGCCAAAUAAGGCAAGAAACACAAUAAAUCAAUUAGUUUGUAGUAAAUCAAGAAGUUAGGGAUUCAGAGUUACAAAUAAACCAAGUCAGAAAUAGGAGAAUCGAAAUGCUAAGGAAAGUUUUCAAAUCAACCUAAGAAACAGGGAAAAACAAGGAAAAAAUCAAUCAGACUUACACAAGCAGGUCUGAAAUCAGUCCAAAAUUAAAAGUUAUUUUAGAGGGACAUUCAACGUAUAAAAAGAGUGCACAAACAUUAGGCAUGCAAGGUUAAACCACGACAAAGAGAAGCAACAAUAAUAGCUACGAAGUCUGUAGAUAGUGAAAUAUGGUAGUCACAUAAGUCGACUUAGUAAUAAGGAGAAGAUGGUAUCAGAAGCAUGAAAAAGAGUCAAGUAAAAGACCUUUCUGGAAAGUAUAGCUUCGUUCAAAGAUUGCAAGAAACCAAAUCACACAGAAGUUGAAACAACAAGGACUUUGAAUCCGGUCGAGCAACUUCAAAUAGACGAAGCAGUUUUCAAAAGCUCGAAUAAGUCCAAAAGAAUUAGGGCUUUGAAAUUAAACAAAUUUAGAGAUGAGGACCAUGCAAAUCACAUAGAAAAUAACCUCAGAACUCGAAUGAACCCUAAAUCUUAGGGUUUUUGCCAUCAAUCAAGUGUAGAGAUGAAAGACAAGUAAUUAAGCAAAUACUAACACGAAAAUAUUCAGAAACCUCAAAAGAAACUAAUAUUCUUGACAUGCAAAUUCUAGUAAAAGAACGACAUAAAGAAACACAGUAAGAGAAACACAUAAGAAACACAGUAGAAGAACAACACAAGAAACACAGUAGAAGAACAACAUAAGAAACACGGUAGAACAUGUUAAAAUCAGAAAAGCUUUCAAAUAGAUUAACAAAAUCAUCGAUCGGAAAAAAUAAAGGUUUCGAAAAUAGAGUUUUUGAAGAAAAUCUCGAGAAAAUAUUUAAAAGCUUAAAGAAAACACAGAUCUACAACAGAUCUAAAAGAAUUAGAAAAACCUCGAAGGUUAGGAUUUCAGAAGAACCCAGAUGGUGAGAAAGACUUGGAAAGUCAUCGAUAUAAGCAGGAGAAGUCAAGAUCAGGUUUGAACAUCCAUGGCUGGUCGGAGCAAGGUCGGAGACAGCCAUAGAACUUGAAUGAUACAAGUAUGGGCCAAGCUUGUUCAAGGUCUGACCUUGAAACCACGGUUAUCAGGCGUAUAUGAGUCAUAGGAGGCUGGUACAAGCCUUUAAUGGCUUUGGAAACCAUGGAUUCAGGCAAUUUUUGGGUGGAAGUGGAGGCGGCUAGGGUUUCUGAGAGGAGCUUGAGAGAGAAUUUGGAGAAGGGGAGAAUUCAAUGGCGG